rnacentral:rRNA from 1 species
ACUGACGCUAAAGCUCGAAGGUGCGGGUAUCGAACAGGAUUAGAUACCCUGGUAGUCCGCACGGUAAACGAUGGAUGCCCGCUGUUUGCGAUAUACUGUGAGCGGCCAAGAGAAAUCGUUAAGCAUCCCACCUGGGGAGUACGCCGGCAACGGUGAAACUCAAAGGAAUUGACGGGGGCCCGCACAAGCGGAGGAACAUGUGGUUUAAUUCGAUGAUACGCGAGGAACCUUACCCGGGCUUGAACUGCAGCGGAAGGAUACAGAGAUGUUGACGUCCUUCGGGACCGCUGUGGAGGUGCUGCAUGGUUGUCGUCAGCUCGUGCCGUGAGGUGUCGGCUUAAGUGCCAUAACGAGCGCAACCCCUUUCAUUAGUUGCCAUCACUUCGGGUGGGCACUCUGGUGAUACUGCCACCGUAAGGUGUGAGGAAGGUGGGGAUGACGUCAAAUCAGCACGGCCCUUACGUCCGGGGCUACACACGUGUUACAAUGGGUGAUACAGAUGGCCGGUUCACGGCAACGUGGAUCAAAUCUUGAAAGUCAUCCUCAGUUCGGAUUGGGGUCUGCAACCCGACCCCAUGAAGCUGGAUUCGCUAGUAAUCGC